GUCAGUGGUAGCUCGGUGGUUAAGACGUUGGACUACUGAUCGGAAGGUCGUGAAUUCAAAUCCCAGCGCUGCCA